GUGCAAAAUUGAAACCUAAUAGAAACCUAAAUUUUUGUCUUCAUGAAGGUCGAAAUGGUUUACUCUCCAAUCGACACAGUCCUAUCUGAAUUACUACCUUCCUCUAGGACCUCUCCUAUUCAAAACCCUGACGGAGAAUUUCACGGUGAGGAUUCAUAAAACAGAGAACCGUGAACUGAACGUCCCUCUGCUCUCCUCCUUCACCAUCGCUUCAUAACGGCUCGAUUCAGUCGGAAACGUCGCGAUUCAGAUAUAGCUUAGCGGUUGAUGCGUCGGUUGGGAAAAGCUCCGAUUUUACCGUCGAUGACGGCGGAGGAUCAGCCUACAGCCAUGGUGAAAGCGUGGGAAGCUUGCGAGUUUCUCAAAGAGUUACCGGAGAUGAAGCUAGGUCACGUUCUUGAGGAGAUCUGUGGGAAUUUCCAUGGGCAUCGAUUUGCGUAGGUUAGAGCGGGGAUGGAGAUGGCUAUGAUUGAUACUGCUGCUAAGAGCGUUGGAUUGAAUUUUUGGAAACUAUUUUGUGGGGCUAGCUUCAAAUACAAUCACCACCGAUGUUACAGUUUGGUUCUAACUUUUAGCUCUUCAUGUACUGUCCCUCUCCUCCUCGUCACCACCGUUCAUCUCAUCCUCGCCUCCUCCUAGAGCAAGAGUAAAAGGGUGACUUUGAAGCAGAACCACAAGCUCCUUAGUAAUGUUAAGGAGGACCAAGAAGGCAAAGGAUGCUAAGAAGCUCGGGCCGUAAUCAUGUGUAAUCUCUGAUUGAGAUUGUAGUCAGCUUGACUAUGUAAUCAGCUUGACCCUUGUCUAAAGCGUAAACCUUUCUCCGGAAUCAGUUUCAGAAGGUUCUUUCUCAGGGAUACAACAACUGUACCUGGAUUCUGCUUUCUUUCUUAUACAAAUUCUUGUUUGACGAGUCCUGUGUGUCUCUCUACUGAAGUAUGCUCUAAUCUCUUUGGUUUUUUGGAGCUCUUCAUUUACUCUUGCAGUCAUCUGGAUAGCUUAUACCAAGAAGAGCAACAGCUCAUGAGGGGGGGACCAAGCAACCAUGUUCAUGAUGAGUUUAUGUGCAGGCUCAAAAUUUUUAAAGGGUCCUCCGAUAGAAUCCUCUUUAAUUUUCUGAUUCCGAAAGAUUGAGAAUCUGUCAAUGUGCGUAUUUGAAUGAUUAGGUUAGGAGGAUACAAGUCUGAUGAUGAGU